rnacentral:tRNA from 1 species
GCCCGGGUGGUCUAGUGGUAUGAUUCUCGCUUAGGGAUGGCAUCUUGCCUACAAACCCAAGCAUAUCUGCGAGAGGUCCCGCGUUCGAUCCGCGGCUCGGGCC